GCCUGGCUGGCUCAGUCAGCGGAGCAUGUGACUCUCGAUCUUGGGGUUAUGAGUUCAAGCCCCAUGUUGGGCG
rnacentral:tRNA from 1 species